rnacentral:rRNA from 1 species
GAUGAACGCUGGCGGCGUGCCUAAUACAUGCAAGUCGAGCGAACAGAUCAGGAGCUUGCUCCUUUGACGUUAGCGGCGGACGGGUGAGUAACACGUGGUUAACCUACCUAUAAGACUGGGAUAACUUCGGGAAACCGGAGCUAAUACCGGAUAAUAUUUCGAACCUCAUGGUUCGAUAGUGAAAGAUGGUUUUGCUAUCACUUAUAGAUGGACCCGCGCCGUAUUAGCUAGUUGGUAAGGUAACGGCUUACCAAGGCGACGAUACGUAGACGACCUGAGAGGGUGAUCGGACAGACUGGAACUGAGGCACGGUCCAGACUCCGACGGGAGGAAGCAGUAGGGAAUCUUCCGCGAUGGGGGAGAGCCUGACAGAGCAACGCCGCGUGAGUGAUGAAGGUCUUCGGAUCGUAAAACUCUGUUAUUAGGGAAGAACAUACGUGUAAGUAACUGUGCACGUCUUGACGGUACCUAGUCAGAAAGCCACGGCUAACUACGUG